CUUAAGCCCCUGAGAACCCAAUCGUCAUACAGUAGGAUAACUUAAACAUAAUUUCUCUUCUUAUUGGUUAAACCAGAUACUUUUAAGAUGGCCACUGUUAGCUUGAAACUCCUUGUGGACACCAGUACCCAGAAGGUAAUCUUUGCAGAGGCAGGAAAGGAUUUUGUGGACUUCUUGUUUGGACUCCUGGAAAUUCCCCUCGGAUCUCUGCUGAGCCAUCUCGCCAGGCAAGGCGUGUAUGAAUCCUGGGCUUUGAGCAAAGUCUAUCAAAGUGUGAAUGAACUUGACAAAGAGUACCUACAGCCAGAUCAAACUAAGAACAUUCUACUAAAUCCCAUAAUGUCCUCGUCAAGAACCAAGGGUGCCCCUUUAAUGCAACAAUUGGGAUAUCGAAAGUCACAGUCGUCAAGCAGUUCCAGUUAUAACAGUAGUGUUGGGAAAGAAGUGGAUGGGUAUGUUAAAGGAUCGGUGACAUACAUGAUAUCAGAUGACCUAGCAGUGAAGCCUGUGUCCAGCAUUUCCAGCAUCAGUCUUAUCAACAGUUUAGGUGUCAAAGAUAUUGCUACUCUGGAAGAAAAGAUCGUGGACAUCGACAUGCAAAAGGCUUUGGAGUUGGUGACGACCUCCUUUGGAUCCAGCACUGUUCUCACAGAUGUAUUUGUUGGGAAGGCAGUAAAGAAAUGUUAGAAUGGUGCUUGAUGAGUGCUCGGCACUUCAUGAGGGAUGCAGUUUCUAGUUUUAAUUCAUGCAACUUAUUAUUAAACAGAUGUUUCCUGCUCAGCUUCUAAACUAUUGUUUUUUUUUUUUAUCGAAUUUGAGAUUUCAGAUUUGAGGGUAAGAUUUACUUUUGAUGAAUACAUGAAGUUUUUCUUUUUUUAAGAUUAAAGUGUGGACUCGGACAAAACAAAAAAAGCAUACAAGAAAAUGAAAGCAAAAGAUUAACAUACAUACAAUUUAUUGUAAUACCAAGUAGAUAAGAAAUAGAUGAAAAUUUGAAUCAAAGGAUGACUUUACUUCAGGAGGAUUCUUUUUGGUUAAGUAUGAUAUUAAUUGGUUUACUUAAAAUGAAGCUAUACACUGGCAUUUGAAAGGAAUGGUUCUGUGGCUUGAUUUUUGUGAAACCAUGCCACAUAUUUGUCAUGGUAUCAGAUUGAUGUUAAUUGGGGGGUUUUACCAUAUGUACAGAGUACAGGUGAAAGUGAAAGAUUAUGUUAAUGCUAAAUCUUGUUUAGUUUCAUAUAAUCUUUUUUUGAAAUUGGUUUGGAGUAAAGUAAAUCAUUUGAGAUGUACUGAGUAAAGUUGGCUCAAGUUUGGAUAAUUGGAUAUGUCACUACAGGAUGUCCACAUCUCCUAUUGGGUACCACUGGAUAUCCACAUCUCCCUGGCACCACCUUUACUUUUUUCAAUUAGACAUUAUUAAGUAUCAACAGUCUUUAGACUCUACGUGAUUUCAGUGUUUUCUGCUUCAAGGAAUUGUAAGAUGGCCCCCUUAAGCUUGAAACUGGUCAUAGACAACAGCACCGAAAAGGUAAUCUGUGCAGAGGCGGAAAAGGAUUUCGUGGACUUCUUAUUUGGACUGCUACGAACUCCUCUGGGAUCUCUGAUAAGGGAUCUUGCUAAGGAAGGGAUGUGUCAAUCCUGGUCUUUGAGCAAAGUCUAUCUGAGUGUUACUAAACUUGGUGACGAGUACCUACAGACCGAACAAACCAAGCAGACUUUACUGAAUCCGAACAUGCCUCCUUCAAACACCAAGGGCGCCCCUCCUUUUUCAACCAGUUCUAGUUCUUUUGGCACCACCCCUGGUUCUUUUGGCACCAUUCCUCCUAAUUUAUUUGAAUCUGCAUUUGGCUCCGGUUCUGGUUCUUUUGGCUGCGGUUCUGGUUCUUUUGGCUCCAGUCCUAGUUCUUUUGGCUCCGGUUCUGGUUCUUUUGGCUCCAGUCCUAGUUCUUUUGGCCCCAGUCCUAGUUCUUUUGGUACAAGUCCUGGUUCUUUUGAUUUUAGUGGUUUAUUCAGGGCUCCAAGAAAUGAUGAUAGGAAGGAAGUGAAUGGGUAUGUUAAAGGAUCAGUGACGUACAUGAUAUCAGAUGACCUGACAGUGAAGCCCAAGCCAGGCAUUUCUUGUGUAAGGUUUCUUAAGAGCUUAGGUGUCAAAGACAUGGAUACCGUGGAAGAAAAAAUUGUGAAGAUCGACGCCAAGAAGGCUUUGCAGUUGGUGAAGACUUCCUUUGAAUCCAGUACUGUUCUCACGGACGUAUUUGUUGGAAAGACGGGGAAGAAAUGUGAUACUGAUGAGUGAUGAGUGCUUCCAACUCCACAAAGAAUGUAUGUCCUAGUUAAAACUUUGUUUCUUCUAGUACCCCCUCCCCGCUCCUCCUAAAACUUUUGUCGAAGAGAACGUUUACUAUCUGCAUGUAUUUUGAUUGUUAAAUAAAAAACUGCAGUGUUGCGUGUUCUUUUGUUUUA